GUGUGUAAACACUAGGCAUGAGGAGUGUGUAAACACUAGGCAUGAGGAGUGUGUAAACACUAGGCAUGAGGAGUGUGUAAACACUAGGCAUGAGGAGUGUGUAAACACUAGGCAUGAGGAGUGUGUAAACACUAGGCAUGAGGAGUGUGUAAACACUAGGCAUGAGGAGUGUGUAAACACUAGGCAUGAGGAGUGUGUAAACACUAGGCAUGAGGAGUGUGUAAACACUAGGCAUGAGGAGUGUGUAAACACUAGGCAUGAGGAGUGAGGAGUGUGUAAACACUAGGCAUGAGGUGUGAGGAGUGUGUAAACACUAGGCAUGAGGUGUGAGGAGUGUGUAAACACUAGGCAUGAGGUGUGAGGAGUGUGUAAACACUAGGCAUGAGGUGUGAGGAGUGUGUAAACACUAGGCAUGAGGUGUGAGGAGUGUGUAAACACUAGGCAUGAGGUGUGAGGAGUGUGUACACACUAGGCAUGAGGAGUGUGUAAACACUAGGCAUGAGGUGUGAGGAGUGUGUAAACACUAGGCAUGAGGUGUGAGGAGUGUGUACACACUAGGCAUGAGGUGUGAGGAGUGUGUAAACACUAGGCAUGAGGAGUGUGUAAACACUAGGCAUGAGGUGUGAGGAGUGUGUAAACACUAGGCAUGAGGUGUGAGGAGUGUGUACACACUAGGCAUGAGGUGUGAGGAGUGUGUAAACACUAGGCAUGAGGUGUGAGGAGUGUGUAAACACUAGGCAUGAGGAGUGUGUAAACACUAGGCAUGAGGAGUGUGUAAACACUAGGCAUGAGGAGUGUGUAAACACUAGGCAUGAGGAGUGUGUAAACACUAGGCAUG